GGCGAGUGAAAAGGGAUCAGCCCAGCGCCAAGUCCUGACGCUUAACGUGUUCAGGAGWUGCGGCGUUAGUGUGUUGGUGCAUCGUGCACUGCCACGUGUCUCAAGUUCCUUUGACAGGGACUCCCAGAGUGGGUGCUAGGCCCAUAGAGACUGCGCGGCCGGUGUACGCAGACCAUCGCAUUUUAGAGUCAGGUUGCUUGAAAGUGCAGCCUAAAGCAGGUGGUAAACUCCAUCUAAGGCUAAAUAUUACAGCGAGACCGAUAGCAAACAAGUACCGUGAGGGAAAGUUGCAAAGAACUUUGAAGAGAGAGUUCAAAAGGACGUGAAACCACUAACAGGCAAACGGGUGGAACCACGAAGUGUGCCUGGCGGGCGAUUCAACUGUCGCCAUCGGCUGGCUGUGCCUGUUGUACGGGUCGGUUCUCCGGCCACACUGGUGCAGUCUACAACCGGUGGCGGUGGUGCAUUUUGUUCCGCCAGUGCUAAAGCCACGUCCGAUUAGGUGGCUGGAACGGCCGUAGUGAGUGUUCGGUGGAAGGUGGCCGUCAGAUGCCUCGGCGUCUGGCGGUGUUAUAGCCACCGGGCCGUGCCGUUGCCUAGCGUGCUGAUCGGUGCAACAUCUCCAACUGGAGUAUUGCUAGUAAUGGGCCGGCGCGCCUGUGGUUGCCUGGUCGACGUGCCAGCCUGGCCUUUCGUAUCUUCGGGUGCGACAAGACAGGUUGGUAUCGGUGGCCAGUGUGCUGCUUGCGUGGUCGGUUUGUGCAAACGGUGGUGCGAGUAGGUCGGUCUCCACCCGACCCGUCUUGAAACACGGACCAAGGAGCCUAGCAUAUACGCAAGUCGCACGGUCUUGUUCAGGCCUGUGAGGCGCAAUGAAAGUAACUCGGCUACGAGGUUGGCCCCCGUGGCUGAUCGCAGUAGCGGCCCGCCGGCUUCCUUUAUCGGGGAUAUGGCGGAGUCGGAGCGUAUACGCUGGUACCCGAAAGAUGGUGAACUAUGCCUGGGCAAGACGAAGCCAGAGGAAACUCUGGUGGAGGUCUGUAGCGAU
rnacentral:rRNA from 1 species